GCCAGUCGUGGUGGUGCACAUCUGUAAUCCCAACAACUCAGGAGGCUGAGGCAGGAGGAUGGCAAGUUCAAAGCCAGCCUCAGCAACUUAGCGAGGCCUUGAGCAACUCAGCAAGACCGUGUCUCUA
rnacentral:sRNA from 1 species